AAAUUGAAGAGUUUGAUCAUGGCUCAGAUUGAACGCUGGCGGCAGGCCUAACACAUGCAAGUCGAGCGGUAGCACAGAGAGCUUGCUCUCGGGUGACGAGCGGCGGACGGGUGAGUAAUGUCUGGGAAACUGCCUGAUGGAGGGGGAUAACUACUGGAAACGGUAGCUAAUACCGCAUAACGUCGCAAGACCAAAGUGGGGGACCUUCGGGCCUCAUGCCAUCAGAUGUGCCCAGAUGGGAUUAGCUAGUAGGUGGGGUAAUGGCUCACCUAGGCGACGAUCCCUAGCUGGUCUGAGAGGAUGACCAGCCACACUGGAACUGAGACACGGUCCAGACUCCUACGGGAGGCAGCAGUGGGGAAUAUUGCACAAUGGGCGCAAGCCUGAUGCAGCCAUGCCGCGUGUGUGAAGAAGGCCUUCGGGUUGUAAAGCACUUUCAGCGGGGAGGAAGGCGAUAAGGUUAAUAACCUUGUUGAUUGACGUUACCCGCAGAAGAAGCACCGGCUAACUCCGUGCCAGCAGCCGCGGUAAUACGGAGGGUGCAAGCGUUAAUCGGAAUUACUGGGCGUAAAGCGCACGCAGGCGGUCUGUCAAGUCGGAUGUGAAAUCCCCGGGCUCAACCUGGGAACUGCAUUCGAAACUGGCAGGCUAGAGUCUUGUAGAGGGGGGUAGAAUUCCAGGUGUAGCGGUGAAAUGCGUAGAGAUCUGGAGGAAUACCGGUGGCGAAGGCGGCCCCCUGGACAAAGACUGACGCUCAGGUGCGAAAGCGUGGGGAGCAAACAGGAUUAGAUACCCUGGUAGUCCACGCCGUAAACGAUGUCGAUUUGGAGGUUGUGCCCUUGAGGCGUGGCUUCCGGAGCUAACGCGUUAAAUCGACCGCCUGGGGAGUACGGCCGCAAGGUUAAAACUCAAAUGAAUUGACGGGGGCCCGCACAAGCGGUGGAGCAUGUGGUUUAAUUCGAUGCAACGCGAAGAACCUUACCUGGUCUUGACAUCCACAGAACUUAGCAGAGAUGCUUUGGUGCCUUCGGGAACUGUGAGACAGGUGCUGCAUGGCUGUCGUCAGCUCGUGUUGUGAAAUGUUGGGUUAAGUCCCGCAACGAGCGCAACCCUUAUCCUUUGUUGCCAGCGGUUAGGCCGGGAACUCAAAGGAGACUGCCAGUGAUAAACUGGAGGAAGGUGGGGAUGACGUCAAGUCAUCAUGGCCCUUACGACCAGGGCUACACACGUGCUACAAUGGCAUAUACAAAGAGAAGCGACCUCGCGAGAGCAAGCGGACCUCAUAAAGUAUGUCGUAGUCCGGAUUGGAGUCUGCAACUCGACUCCAUGAAGUCGGAAUCGCUAGUAAUCGUAGAUCAGAAUGCUACGGUGAAUACGUUCCCGGGCCUUGUACACACCGCCCGUCACACCAUGGGAGUGGGUUGCAAAAGAAGUAGGUAGCUUAACCUUCGGGAGGGCGCUUACCACUUUGUGAUUCAUGACUGGGGUGAAGUCGUAACAAGGUAACCGUAGGGGAACCUGCGGUUGGAUCACCUCCUUA
rnacentral:rRNA from 1 species